rnacentral:rRNA from 1 species
GGUCAGGCUGAAGACUUACCCGAUUAGCUGAGAGGUGGUGCAUGGCCGUCGUCAGUUCGUACUGUGAAGCAUCCUGUUAAGUCAGGCAACGAGCGAGACCCACGUCCACAGUUGCCAGCAUACCCUCCGGGGUGAUGGGUACACUGUGGAGACCGCCGCUGCUAAAGCGGAGGAAGGAGUGGGCAACGGUAGGUCAGUAUGCCCCGAAUCUCCCGGGCUACACGCGGGCUACAAUGGUUGGUACAAUGGGCAUCUACCCCGAAAGGGGAAGGAAAUCUCUUAAAGCCAAUCGUAGCUCGGAUUGAGGGCUGCAACUCGCCCUCAUGAAGCUGGAAUCCGUAGUAAUCGCGUUUCAACAGAACGCGGUGAAUACGUCCCUGCUCCUU